rnacentral:lncRNA from 1 species
GUUGCACAAUGUCUGACAUGCCAGAAAGAGGGAAAGGAAUUAAAUAUGAAAAGCAUAAAGUUUAACCUGUAUCUUUGUGAAAGACUGAGAAUAGAACGUAGCUUCACCAGCCCAUACCACCCACAAACCAAUGGCUUGGCUGAAAAUGCUAAUAAAUCCAUAAAAAGGUAAGUGAAUGGGUGGGAAUAUUACAGUACUAAUGGCAAGUAGAGUGUGCUAUGCAAGAAGAUGCAAUUCACAAAAAAAAUCUUCAAAAGCAAUGUGUUACAUGGAAAGUCUUUUUCAUUAUAUAUUACAUCUUUUUGAUUAUGUCUGAUCUGUUUCAGUCAAGACCGUACGUGUGACUUUCUUUUUUUAAACAAACAAAUCAAUGAGCAUUUGUUACAGAGCAUUGCGGAGAUGGUUGAUGACAAUGGGAGUAAUUGGGAUCAAUUACAUUACCCCAUUUUGUUUUCUUUGCCAACUAAAGUACACACAACAACAACAAUGUCACCCUUUCGACUAAUAUUUUGUGCUGACCCAGUGUUUCCAGAAGAAGUCUCAGAGAAUUACAUGUCAUAUUUGUAAUGACCAGCAAACACACAGAGAGACUGGAGGCCAAAGUGAGAAACAUAAAAUUGUAUGGCUCUUCAUUUCGUGAGAAACAUAAAAUUGUAUGGCUCUUCAUUUCAUUGCCUGAAGCCGAGAAGCUGGAUGAGUGAUGAGGUUAUUGAUGCAUAUUUGAGCUGCGUGGUCAAGAAAGCAGAUGGAAAGUGUGGAGGACUACUGCAUAUACUGCAACUUUGUCAACUGUGAAAAGGAAAGUGAGGAUUGCAUGAUGUUGUUACUUAUCAAAGGUCCAGUGUGAUUCUUGCAAGAGGUGGGCACAUAUGCCCUGCAUUAUAGAAGGAACCAAUCAAGAAAACCUGACUGAUGAGAAGAAAGAAUACAACUGCAAAAAAUGUGCAUAGUUCACUUCUUUACCAAAAAAACAAAACAUUGUUUAAAUGCCUCUUGCUCAAAACAUAAUGCAACCAAAAGAAUUUUUUGAUUUAUAUACCAG